rnacentral:rRNA from 1 species
UACGUAGGGAGCAAGCGUUGUCCGGAAUUACUGGGUGUAAAGGGCGAGUAGGCGGGACAAAAAGUCAGAUGUGAAAACUAUGGGCUCAACCCAUAGCCUGCAUUUGAAACUUUUGUUUCUUGAGAGAUGGAGAGGUAAGCGGAAUUCCUAGUGUAGCGGUGAAAUAGCGUAGAUAUUAGGAGGAACACCAGUGGCGAAGGCGGCUUACUGGACAUUUACUUGACGCUGAGGAGCGAAAGACGUGGGGAGGCGAACAGGAUUAGAUACCCUCGGUAGU